GGCUCGUUAGCCGUGGUAGGCAAUUCACCUAGGAGAGCAAACUCUAAACAAACCCGGGCAGGUGAGGCUCGUUAGCCGUGGUAGGCAAUUCACCUAGGAGAGCAAACUCUAUACAAACCCGGGCAGGUGAGGCUCGUUAGCCGUGGUAGGCAAUUCACCUAGGAGAGCAAACUCUAUACAAACCCGGGCAGGUGGAGGUCGUUAGCCGUGGGAGGCAAUUCACCUAGGAGAGCAAACUCCGAACAAUAAACCCGGGCAGGUGGAGCUCGUCAGCCGUGGUAGGCAAUUCACCUAGGAGAGCAAACUCUAAACAAACCCGGGCAGGUGAGGCUCGUUAGCCGUGGUAGGCAAUUCACCUAGGAGAGCAAACUCUAUACAAACCCGGGCAGGUGAGGCUCGUUAGCCGUGGUAGGCAAUUCACCUAGGAGAGCAAACUCUAUACAAACCCGGGCAGGUGAGGCUCGUUAGCCGUGGUAGGCAAUUCACCUAGGAGAGCAAACUCCGAACAACAAACCCGGGCAGGUGGAGCUCGUCAGCCGUGGUAGGCAAUCUGCCUAGGAGAGCAAACUCCGAACAAUAAACCCGGGCAGGUGGAGCUCGUCAGCCGUGGUAGGCAAUCUGCCUAGGAGAGCAAACUCCGAACAAUAAACCCGGGCAGGUGGAGCUCGUCAGCCGUGGUAGGCAAUCUGCCUAGGAGAGCAAACUCCGAACAAUAAACCCGGGCAGGUGGAGGUCGUCAGCCGUGGUAGGCAGUCUGCCUAGGAGAGCAAACUCCGAACAAUAAACCCGGGCAGGUGGAGGUCGUCAGCCGUGGUAGGCAAUUCACCUAGGAGAGCAAACUCCGAACAAUAAACCCGGGCAGGUGGAGGUCGUCAGCCGUGGUAGGCAAUCUGCCUAGGAGAGCAAACUCUAAAUAAACCCGGGCUUGUGGUGCUCGUUAUACUGUCGUAGACAAUCCACGCGAUGGGAACACCAAAGAAAAGGAAAAUAAAAAAGAACACCAGAAAAAUGGAAAAUACAGAAACGAAACAUCAAGAAAAGAAACAAAAACAUCAUCCACCUUUAGGCCCUAACAUCGCCAAAAUUAUGGACGGGUCUCUUCUGGGGAGAAAGCGGCUCAUCCAGACCAAAGAACAUCAACAAAAGGAUGAUAUGAAUAAAUGAACAUAAAAAAAAACAAAGAAAAACACAUCAAGGAAAGAAAAAUAUAACAAACAUCAUCCACCUUCCGGCCCUGACUAACAUCACCAAAAUUAUGGGUGGGUCUCUUCUGGGGAGAAAGCAGCUCACCAAGACCAAAGAACAUCAACAAGGGAUGAUAUAGAAAAGAACACCAAAAAAAUAUGGAAAAAGAACAGAAAAAACAUCGAAAAAGAAAAGCAACAGAAAUAAAUGAGCAACAUCGAGAAAAGAGAAAUACAAAGAAACAUCAUCCACCUUUCGGUCCCAAACAACAUCACCAAAAUUAUGGAUGGGUCUCUUCUGGGAGGAAAGCGGCUCAUCCAGACCAAGGAACAUCAACAAAAGGAUGAUGGGAAAAAAAUAACAACAAAAAACAUCAAAAAGAAGUAAAAAGAAAAAGAACAGGAAAACAUCGAAAAAGAAAACAAAAGCAAUAAAAAGAACGAAAAACACGACAUCAAGAAAAUAAAAUAAAACAAACAUCAUCCACCUUUCGG